rnacentral:rRNA from 1 species
CUACGGAGGGUGCAAGCGUUACUCGGAAUCACUGGGCGUAAAGCGCGCGCAGGCGGCUUGAUAAGUUGGAUGUGAAAGCCUACGGCUCAACCGUAGAACUGCAUCCAAAACUGUCAAGCUAGAGUCUGGGAGGGGAAGAUGGAAUUAGUUGUGUAGGGGUAAAAUCCGUAGAGAUAACUAGGAAUACCAAAAGCGAAGGCGAUCUUCUGGAACACUACUGACGCUGAGGCGCGAAGGCGUGGGGAGCAAACAGGAUUAGAAACCCCAGUAGUCC